UACGUAGGGGGCAAGCGUUGUCCGGAUUUAUUGGGCGUAAAGAGCGUGUAGGCGGUUUGGUAGGUCCGUUGUGAAAACUCGAGGCUCAACCUCGAGACGCCGGCGGAAACCAUCAGGCUAGAGUCCGGAAGAGGAGAGUGGAAUUCCUGGUGUAGCGGUGAAAUGCGCAGAUAUCUAGAGGAAUACCGGUGGCGAAGGCGGCAUCCUGGACCAACACUGACACUGAAUCGCGAAAGCUAGGGGAGCAAACGGG
rnacentral:rRNA from 1 species